rnacentral:lncRNA from 10 species
UAGUAUUCUAUGGUGUAUAUAUACCACAUUUUCUUUUUCCAGUCCACUGUUAAUGGGCAUCUAGGUUGAUUCCAUGUCUUUGCUAUUGUGAAAAGCGCUGUGAUGAACAUAUGCAUACAUAUGUCUUUAUGGUCAAAUCAGAGUUUUGACUGCCAAUUUUAAGCAGCUCACCAAACCCAUGGCUUGGGAUGCAGACAGAGUUGUUACAGAUCUCAGAGAAACGUCAGCAGAACAGCAGUCUUUGUCAGAGACACAACCAUAUUCAGCCAAGUUUUUCUUUCAGAUCUUCCAGGUUUUGGAGCAGAGAGGCUGAAGAAAAGAUUUAAAUAACAAGAAAACCUGGAGUUGAGCAGCACCUAAAGAUCAGUGAGCAGCUCCAACAUGAUUGUACAGAAGAGCUAACAGGCACUGGAAGUCUAGAGAACAGGCAGAGAUACCCCCUGCACUGUGUAAAAUUAUGAAAAAUGUAUCCAUGAGGGUCCUGCUAUCGCAGUGGUAGAAGACUCAAGCCAGGACUUUUAGAGCUUGUAGGUGCUGAGGUAAUCAGGAAUGCUUUCACCAAUAUUCCAGUCCUCUGUCUGAGCACACGGUGAGACGGAACUUCUCAGCUGCCUCAAAGGUAAGUGUAGCUAAAUAUCUAGUUUGGGCCAACGGAAAGUGAGUGGCGGUGAUGUGUCAGUUCAAGGCAGAAGUUUUGGAUGAAGGAGGAGGCUCCCUCAGCCUGGUUAUCUGGGUGGAGAUGAUACAGAGCAAAGCCCUUCCUCCAAGCCCAUCUAGAGAGGACAUGUCAUGUGAGUAAAAAAAUAGAACUUUCCGAUUUUCGGUCACUGAAAUUUAAAGGUUGUGUCAGGGAUUCCCAAGACCAUUCUUAGGCUCAGUUAUUCUCUAGAAAGACUCACAUGACUCAGAAACCAUCGUAAUUACAGUUGCAGUUUAUUACAAGGAAAGGGUACAAAUCAAAACGAACAAAGGGAAAGGGCACAUCUUGCCAAAUCCAGG